CAAGUACUCCCUCCGUCCAGAAUUACUUGUCAUCAAAAUGGAUGUGUCUAGAACUAAAAUACAUCUAGAUACAUCCAUUUCAAUGACAUGUAUUUUUGGACGGAGGGAGUACAAG
rnacentral:pre_miRNA from 1 species